GUUUUCUUCAGGUUUCUCCUUUACUUUGCCUUCAGUAAAUUCUCACAUCCUUCCUGACCAUAGUAGUGUCUCAAGAAAGAGAUCGCAUAGGACCUUAGAGACUGCUUAACCAAAAUUCUACUGCUAUAGAGGAGGCUAGAUGAUCUCAUCUUUAGAUGAUCCUCCUAAGGAUUUGCACAUGCUGAGGUCUGAAGCCAUUUUGAGUGAGAAGUGAGGAAGCUCAGAGAAAGCACAGACCAGUUCCAGAACACGAUGAAGCUAUGUCUCCUUUGUAUAUCUGAGAAGAGUGUAAAUAAAUGUGUGAUCUUGCAACAUAAACAC